AUGCGGAUAAUAUAGCUAUGCGAAAUUUGCCGUUUUUCAGUCAUUUUGUAUUACGCAUGGGAAAUUGACAGCCCAAUCAGGUGCUGGGGCAUCAAUUUCCCGUUUGUAAUACAAAAUGACUGAAAAACGGCAAAUUUCGCAUGGCUAUAUUAUCCGCAUUU